GCAUACAGCCAUACCACCCUGAGAAUGCCCAAUCUCGUCUGAUCUCAGAAGCUAAGCAGGGUCGGGCCUUGUUAGUACUUGGAUGGGUGACCGCCUGGGAAUACCAGGUGCUGUAGGGU
rfam:Pelecanus crispus contig97382, whole genome shotgun sequence.